GACGAACGCUGGCGGCGUGCUUAACACAUGCAAGUCGAGCGGUAAGGCCCUUUCGGGGGUACACGAGCGGCGAACGGGUGAGUAACACGUGGGUGACCUGCCCUCAGCUCUGGGAUAAGCCUGGGAAACCGGGUCUAAUACCGGAUAUGACUCCAUGACGCAUGUUGUGGGGUGGAAAGCCUUGUGCGGCUGAGGAUGGGCCCGCGGCCUAUCAGCUUGUUGGUGGG
rnacentral:rRNA from 1 species